GCUGGGUAUGGUGGCACACACCUGUAAUCCCAGUGGCUUCAGGAGGCUGAGGCAGGAGGAUGGUGAGUUUAAAGCCAGCCUAAGCAAAAAGCAAGGCAUUAAGCAACUCAGUGAGACCCUGUCUCUA
rnacentral:sRNA from 1 species